CCGCCCUGAUUGGCAGCUGAGGUGAGGGUAGAGCUCUCCCCAAAUUAAAUCCCAGAAGCUCUGACUUGGGGGAGGGGCGCCCUCCACCCCCUGAAGGACAAAAGGCAAGGCUUCCAGGUAAUGGUCCAAAUGGAGGUAAAUAAUUAAGAGGUCGCCUUUGAGAGUUAUCCAUUAACAACCUUAACGUGGAGCCUCCGAGUCCCCUGUGAUGAGAAAGAAAGGACCCCCCCCCCCAUCAGGUUAAAUGCAAAUGUCUGCGGUAGACGGAGCUCCUGUUCAGGGGGGUCUGACCUGUGAAUCUGUAAGCUUCGGUUAGUUCAGGGAUCUGCAAAAGUCUGAGCUGAUUUUCUUUUCAAAAAUGUAAUUUCUGAGCGCACGCUCAGAUUCUUACCUAUCCAGUUGUAUGUAACACCGGAUACCCCCAUUUAUUCCUGUGGUGGGCGAUCCUGUCUGCGAAUCCCAGCGCCCAGCCCCCUUUCUUGUUCCUGAGAGGCUACCCCGUUUCUGCCCCCCUGGCAGAGCCUGUAGGUGGGGGUCUCACCUCCACCCCACCCGCGGGCCGUCAGAAACGCCUGGGAGGUCCUUGCGUUCCCAGCAGCUGUCAAGACCCAGAAGGAAUUUUUAGAGUCAACUUGCCUUGACAUAACCUAAAACCCAGAAGGCUCUGGUUUCUGUCCAUCCCCCAAACUGACUCUCUACCCUCAAGCCUCAGUGCAUCCUGGUGUGGAAGUUUAGAGCCCUCUCUUGAUCUUUCUAUUCUUUGUAAAUGUCCCGCCCGGCCACGCCCCUCGCAGAAUAUUGUAUUGCUGUGUUCACUGUUGCUCCCCGGAAUCUGAGCUUCCAUAACUGCUACACAAACCUCAGGCGGAUUUGCUCAUCGCGUGCUGUUCUCCCAUCAAGGCACAGUCGUAUGGUAACAAGGGGCAGUGCGCCAUUUCUUAGCGUCCUAUUGCGGCACUAAGACUGUACUUGUGGAUUUCGGGGGCUGUCCAUACACAGAGUGAGUGGGUUCAGUGUUGCCUGCAAAAUCCUCGUCUCCUACCGCUUCUCUUUGGAGCUUUUCUGGACCGGUUGAAGAGUUUCCUGAGAUCGCAACGCAAGCUGUUGUGCAAAACUGGUGCCAUUCGAAGAGACUUAUCUGUGUGAAUCAAGACGUUGCCGGCAUAGCAGACCCUAAACAGAAAGCCCCAUGUACGCUGGAUGUGCUGGCCGAUGGCAGGCAGCAGCUGGCCUUUGGAAACCCCUGAUUUCAAAAGUGGGUUCAGUUAAAUCUCUUCCUUGUUCCUGUGGUUGAUGCUGUGUUGUACAAACAUAAAAUAAACGUAGCUAAUGCAACGCA